AAUCAAAGGAACCCAACCAAUUCAACUCCUCAAUCUGCAACAAACAGAGAAACCCACCAAUCUCAGCUGACUGCAAACCUAACUUUUUAAAAAAAUUUCUUCCUAUUUCACUUUCGCACUUAAACUCCUCCAUCAACGACAUAGCUUCUUUGAAAUUUUUCUUCCUCAAUGGAUCUUUAAUUUCUUCUUCAUUAGGAACUUUACGAUAACAGAGGACUUACAGAUAAAGCAAUCGCAGAAUGAAUAUUAUUUGAAAAUGUUUUUCAAAAUACGCCAACAACAAUAGCAUAACUAUUGCCAGUCCAAACUUUGUAGUCCAAACUCGGUACGAUCAGAUACCCGACAUCGCAAAUUCAAAAUUCGAGCAACCAAUUUCCGCACCAAGUGAAACCGUUCAGCAUUGGAUGGAUUGAGAAGCCGAUCUCGGAUGAUUCUUCUUCUUUCAAGCCUGCGAUCUUUACUGCAGAUUGAGACCAAUCGCUAAACUCUCAGAACACAAAAAUGCUCGACGAGAUCCAGCCCUAUUCGUGAAAGCAGCCAUCGUCAUCCGAAGUCGAAGAACAGACGAGGGAGUAAGAACAACAAUAACAAUAAGAGACCUGAAAUCAUGUAUGAAUUUUAAUGGCCUUACUUGAUCCAACGCCUCUUAAAGAGGGCAGGUGGCUAGGAGAGAGACGAUUGGCGGAUUACAUGGAUCAAUUUUUGCUAGUCUGGAGUCCGACCAACGAAAAAAGUGAAGAAGUUAGAAGAUGAAGUUGAGAAACAAGGUAGUGGGGAGAAAGGCGGUGGUAGAGAAGUGAGGUGGGUAAGAGGGAAAUUAUAAUUUUCUUUUUUAUAACUAUUUAUUUUUUAUUUUGUUGAUUGCGUAUUCCACUAUUAUUUAUCAUCACCCAAUACAUCCACGCCAGAUGUGUUGUUUGCGGAGUCAGCUUCCGUCAAACUUUAGUUAAGUCUCACCUGAUGAUGUUAGCGAGAUUUGAAAUAUGAGCCAAAAAUUG
rnacentral:lncRNA from 1 species